GUGAAUCAUCAAAUUUUUGAACGCAAAUUGCACUUUCUGGUAUUAUGGAAAGAAUGCAUGUUUGAGGGUCAGUUAAAUAAAAAUCGGCGUUGGUGCUGCCUUUCGUGGUGACGCGUCGGAUUUGAGUUGUAUUACCUUAGGUUAAGCUUCUUAAAAUUUUUGCAUGAUUUUCGAACGUAUUUAAAUAGUUUACGUACGUUAGAGAUAUCGAAUGCUUAUUAGGUUCGGUCAUGACCAUGAUCUGCGCCU
rnacentral:misc_RNA from 1 species